UACGAAGGGACCUAGCGUAGUUCGGAAUUACUGGGCCUAAAGCAUCCGUAGCCUGCUCUGUAAGUUUUCGGUUAAAUCUAUAUGCUCAACGUAUAGGCCGCCGAAAAUACUGCAGUGCUAGGAAGUGGGAGAGGUAGACGGUACUUGGUAGGAAGGGGUAAAAUCCUUUGAUCUAUCGAUGACCACCUGUGGCGAAGGCGGUCUACCAGAACACGUUCGACGGUGAGGGAUGAAAGCUGGGGGAGCAAACCGG
rnacentral:rRNA from 1 species